CUGUGAGCACUCCAUGUUCCAGUAUAGCCAGUGGGUUUGAUGAUGGGGCAUGAAAGUCAUCAUCUCUCUUUUCCUUUCUAGGAAUCGUCCCCAAGCAAUAAGAAGAACAGAAAAGCAAAAAUGUGAAGUCCAUUUUCAUUAAAACUGGGUGACAGCAAAAACCCAAACUUCAAAAUAUAAGAAAAGGCUGCCAAAGGUAGUGGAAAUUGAACAGAGUGCAGGAGGGAGCAGAGAGAGAAUUCCAGAAGGAGAGGAUCCCACAGCCAUCUCUGCCGACUUAGGAGAAGGAAAGGCUACGCAGAUACCCACAGAAAACCCCAGAUCGUGUGGGAAAUGCCAGAUAGCUUGCAAUGUGGCCCUGGCCCCUCCCCAGCACAAACCUACCAGAAACUACUGGCCCAGGGAAGACUCAACUCCUGUCAAGGAACAAGCACAAAAUCUGUACAAAUACACUGUAAAGAUAGAAGAAAGGAAGUAAUAUGAAAAACUAAUGGAAGGUAGAAAGAACAUUCACUGGAAAAAUGUUACCACAAAACAAAGAGAUAUCACCAAACAUUUCAUCAUGAAUUUAAGUAAAAUCACGAAACAAUUUCUUCUAUGAAGCAAGGGCAUUAUCACUAAUGCUAAGUGAUAAGAGCUCAGGAAGAAGACAACAACAGGAAGAGGCCAAUGUGACCUGCAGAGCUCAGGGAAGAAGUGAGAGAAAAAUCAGAGAAAUCAAGAUAAAACUGGCACAAAAAUUAAGAGACAGUGUCUCUUUCACUCUUUCAUCAAUAUGGAAACACAGGAAGGGACACAUAGGAUGGCAAUGAGAAGAGCAAAAAAAAAAAAAAAAAAAAAAGAAGAAGAAGAAGAAGAAGAGGAAGAAGAAAAAGAAGAAAAGGAAGGAAGGAUGGAAAGAAAGAAAGAAAUUUUAAUUAAAGAGAAUAUAAUCUGUACAUGUAUACGUAAAUAGUUCAUAUCUAUAUGAAAUGUGCACAUAUGGAAUUCCUGAAAAAAAAAAUAAUAAUGGAACAAAACAAAUAUCGAAGGAUAUAACACAAGAAAACUUCCUUGAACGGUAAAAUAUGAAUGCACGUAUUAAAACAGUAUGCUGUGUCCCAAGAAAAAAAAAAAAAAAAACUGCCCUGACAGCACCAAUACAUCCUGGUAAAGUUACUAGAUUUCAAAGGUAAAGAAGGAUACUUUGGGGAAAAAAGAUACUUUCAUAGGGAACUAUCAAGCUGGCCUCAGACUUGAGCCAUCUCCAACUCUAGACAGCAUGUAAGACCAAAUAUGUCCAACUUUGCAGGAUGGAUGUGCAGGGGGGGAAAGAACGGUGGCCUUACUGCAGGAAGCCUGGGGACAGUCUGGCUCUCUCGCUAUUCACGCACACUGAGCAGGCAGCUAUGGUAUUGUGAAAAUGACAAGGUUUUUGGAAUCAGACAGACGGAGCCAAUCCUGGCUCCACUGCUCCUCGCUCAGUGAUCUAUGGUCAUAUGACACCUUUGCACCUUAGUUCCCACCUCUGUAAAACGGGGGUAGGAAUUCCUUCCUCUGUGUAUUAAAUGAAAUCAUAUGAAUGAAUUGGGCCAGGUGCAAUUACCACUUAUUUUUAAUCUUUAAAGUCAUCACCUUGUUCCUGAGCUGUCCCCACCCCCCCCCCAAAACCCUUAGGACACUGGGGUAUUGAAGGAGGUCUGUCACAAAGAAUACCGUGGCUGCCUGUGGGAUCCUCCCCGACAUGAACUGGAAGAGGGUCUGCAGUGGGUCAUUGGACGCCAGCGUGCUGGUAAAGCUGCAGAGAGAGAUGACCGUUAGUGGGGACCAAGCCGAGAGAGCCUUUGACCCAUUGCCAGCGGGGCAAACCCCCCGUAGUUCUCUAUUUGACUUCAGCAGCUUCUUUCGGAACAUGAACUUCUCUUUGCUUUUCUGCCGUGCCUCUGCUUGGCUCCCACUUUGGGGGGAUCGGCAGGAUCUUCAUUCCACCACAGAUGGGGCUCUCUGUUGGGGGGUGUUUUCUGCACUUUGGCACUGAUGCCCCAACUCUCCAGUAACCAUUUCUAUAGGUCUUCUUUGUCACGGAAAUGCUGCACAUCUCAGAGAUCCCUAGAGAGCCCCAGCAGUUAACCCAAACAUCUUCUCUGCAGGCCCCUCCUACCCAGUCACCCUCAACUUCUAGUCCCCUGAAGCAGUUCCCCUUGUGCCACACCCACAGCCUCCAGGGCUGGUUUUCUGGCUCGUGACUAGCCUGGGUCUUUUACUCACAUGCACUAAAUAGCCAUUUUCAGUAACCAAAGAGGCGUAGAACAGGGACCAGAAAUGAUCUUCCUGAUGACAAACCGUGGGAUAUGCUUAACAAGGAUAUAAUAAGCUCUAGAGCUGAUUUGAGAUUUAAGCAUACUCAGUAAGAGAUAUUUUUCACAAUUCACCGGGCCCCAUCAAAAAUCAAUGGCCCAAGGCAAAAAUCUGUCGCGGAGAUGUAUGCUACAAUGUGGGAUUGUGGGAUGUUCAUUUCCAAAGCCCAGAGGAAAAUCGUCCCUCAGAACAGGCUUUAUAGGACGGGGGAAGAACGCGGUCUUUUAUUUAAUAGCACCCUUGCCGCGGGAGCUCAGAGCGCUUAUCAUAAUAAAACUCCAGGGUUCCUCACCAUCCUGAACAUAAUGAAGUGCACAGAGGUGUUACCAGUCCCUGGGAAGACUGAGGGUUAGAGUAGAAGAGAGACUCCACGGAGGCCGUGGUGGAGAAGGGUAGUGUGGCAGCCUUGAAGGGAGGUACCAUCGUCUCAGCCAUCUGCCCGACAGCCAAUUUAUGGCCAAUUUAAACUUAAGUCAAGCUGAGAGGUUCACAGCUUCACAGCUUCGACUAACACAGGAAGAGAACAUUUUGAGGGAACAUCCUUCUCACGGUCUGAUCCAAGCCUGCCCCUUAUGGGAGGGCCCCCCGGCCCUCCCCACCCCUAACACAUGUCUAUCCCUGCCAACCCACAGAUCUGGCUGCAGCUGGAGGGGCUUACUCAGGAACCCUUCUCCAGCACCCCUACCCCACCCCCCCAUUUAAUUCCCCUUAUUCCAAACUCCUGGCUAUGUGGUCAGCCUCCAUUCCUGUCUCAUCCUGGUUUGGGCAUUCUUCCCGGUCUCAGUGUGCUGGCAUGAUCUCUGACUAAACACAUUCCUUCAGUCUCGUCAUGUCCCCUGCCCUAGAUGAAGACUUCUGCUUGUAAUCCCCUGUCCUAUAAAGCCUGUUCCUAGCACAGCUCCUGCUCCCCCAUAUCCCGACCUUCCUCUCAGCGCCCACAUCCCCCACUGCAAGACUCAGUGGUAGACAGCUACUAACUCUCAGACCCAAAGCUCUGUCAGUUAACCCUAAGUGGUCACCUAUUCCCUCACUGAUGGAACUAUCUAGAACAGCCCCUCCCAAAGAGAACUACCGGAUUGCAGAAACCCAUGCAAUUUUUGGAAACUCAGACCCUGAGAAAUAUUACUAAACUGAAUAUUUAACACAGCAGGUAGAAAGAAUGUGUCCAUGUCUAGGUUGUAAGAAUCUGGAGAAGCGAUAUGCUAGGUCCAGGUCAGAAGAGAAAAACUGGAAGGAUGCUUGGUGCAUGGGGCUUCCCAGCACAUCCUGCAUUUGCCUCCCAACACUCCCUCCCUCGGCGGGCCUCUCUCUGCUCUCUGCUCCUUAGGUCUUCUUUGCCAGUGGCCUGCUCACCCACUCAUAACCCAGCUGUAGGUCCUUGGGUCCAUCUUGCUGGCGAGGAACAAAGCGUGGCCCCACAAGUGGUUCUUCAUGGCCCACUCCAAGGCUUCCUGAAAACAAAAGCACGUCACGGUCAGCAUGGCCCUAUUCACCUUCCCACAAACAACAACAAAUGUCGAUGGUUGGGUACUGCUGCCCUUGAGCUGUACAAGCUGGGCUCCCAGGAAGGCUCGGAGCCUCAUCUGUGAGAGGGACAAAGGAAGACCGGGUGCCUAUUUCUCUCUAAGAUGUCCCUUCUCCAGCCUUCACUUUAUCAAAUACAUUCUGCUAUUUCAUCAUCUGCCCCUCAAACGUAGCUUCCAGUCAGCCUUAUCUCUUUAGCAGAAGUCACAUGAUACUUUUACGAACCUAAGCACCGAACACGAGAGAGGCACCGCACCCCAAGGACUGAGUCUCAAAGUACAGGUAGCAAGAUGACAUUCAUGGGGGCGCGCCCCAGGAACGGUUUCUUUUUUAACAGCUGUGGCAGAGACUGUUAGCUCCCCACCAAAAGCCAUUGUCCCCUUCCUGGGCAAAGAAAUGCACCCCAUUUUCCUGCCUCCUAUGCACCUAGAAGUGACUGAGUUCCGGGCUCUACAAUGGCAACAGAAAUGGUUAUAUUGCGUUCAGAUCUGGUGCAUAGAAGUCCUGUGCCCGGUCCCCAUGCCCUUUUCCCCAUCUGGCUGGCUGGAAUGAAGAUGGCUUCUCAUUCCAUAUAGACUAUAUGCUCAGGUGGUACAGCCUCCUACAUGCCUUGAACCACUCCGGGAAGAAGGGCUGACCCACCGUUCUGCUCACCUGCCCAGGAUGCCCACAUGAAGAGAAAGUAGCUGCCACCAUGUUUGAGCCAGUUUGCAUAGCAGUCGACCUGCCCCACCUAAUAUUAUAACUAAUUGCUUGUUAACUAUC